rnacentral:tRNA from 1 species
CCUCUGAUGUUUCAGUGGUAGGAUUCUUACCUUCUGUGUAGGAGACCUGGGUUCAAUUCCUGGUCAGCGUU